UUUCAUUUGCUACCAUUGGAAAUGACAGGCUCUAUUCUAUCUUAGGUUAGUUAUAAAAACUUUGAUAUAAUGGUACAUUUCAUUUGAAAUUUACAGCAGCUAAUGUCAGCUAGCUGGCUUCUGACAUUCAUCCUAGCUUUACAAUCAACUGGCUGGCUUCAUCAGGCAGCUUUAGAUCUGGACAGGGAGUAAGAUUAUUAGAAAGCAGAAUGCUGCCAGACAACCUCAGGACCAUAGAGGGGCACUUCUGAAAUAUUUUGGAGCACCCUCUGGCACUGGUCAGAAUGAGGAGCCAUCUACCUCCUCAGCCACACAGGCCUCUUCAGAAAUUAUCUCUGAGCCUCAAGAUGAGGAGCCAUCCACCUCCUCAGCCGCACAGGCCUCUUCAGAAAUUAUCUCUGAGCCUCAAGAUGAGGAGCCAUCCACCUCCUCAGCCGCACAGGCCUCUUCAGAAAUGAUCUCGGCGCUUCAGGAUGAGGAGCCAUCCACUUCCUCAGCCACACAGGCCUCUUCAGAAAUUAUCUCUGAGCCUCAAGAUGAGGAGCCAUCCACCUCCUCAGCCACACUGGUGUCUUCACAAAUGUUGUCUGAGCCUGAGGAUGAAGACCCAUUUGCUUCCACUUCUCCCCAGCAGGAUUCUUCAGGUGUGUUUGUUUGUUUGUUUGUUUGUCCUGUGUGAAUUUAAGUAUGCUCUCUAAUUCUCUAUUUUUUUCUCUCUCUCUUUCUCUCUCCCUCUCUCUCUCGGAGGACAUGAGCCCUAGGACCAUGCCUCAGGACUACCUGGCCUGAUGACACCUUGCUGUCCCCAGUCCACCUGGCCGUGCUGCUGCUCCAGUUUCAACUGUUCUGCCUGCGGCUAUGGAACCCUGACUUGUUCACCGGACGUGCUACCUUGUCCCACACCUGCUGUUUUCAACUUUAUAGAGACAGCAGGAGCGGUAGAGAUGCUAUGAAAAGCCAACUGACAUUUACUCCUGAGGUGCUGACCUGUUGCACCCUUUACAACCACUGCGAUUAUUAUUUUUUGACACUGCUGGUCAUCUAUGAACAUGCUGAGGAUGAACCACUGUCUACAGACCCUGUGACAGGCCUUCAGUUCUGACUGACAGGAUUUGGACACAAUUAGUUUGUAGAGGACCAUGUGAGGUACCAGCUAACAUUGUUUUCCCAAGGAAUGAGAUUGAUGAAAGAAGUUGCCACCACCAGUAUUUCAGGAAGACCAUGGUGAGUGGUGAAAAAAUCCCUAGAAGUUGGUUGGUGUAUUCUGAAAGAAACAACAGCCUCUUCUGCUUCUGCUGCAAACUCUUUUCUAAGAAGAAAAUGAAUUUAGCAAACUCAGGACUGACAGACUGGGAACAUACAAGUUCUUUGCUGACUUCACACGAAAGCAAUCCAGAACACCAAAACUGCAUGAAAACAUGGAAAGAACUGGCAAUGAGGAUAAAAAAGGGGAAACAAUUGAUAAGCAUGAGAUGGCACUUAUGGAGGCUGAGAGGAUAAGAUGGCGAGAGGUGUUGACACGUCUGACUGCCAUUGUGCAGUCUCUGGCAAUUAGAAAUCUGGCACUAAGGGGACACACAGAAACACUGUACUCUCCAUCAAAUGGAAAUUUCCUUAAAGAGGUUGAACUGAUGGCACAAUUUGAUCCAGUCAUGAAAGUGCACCUUAACCGUGUCCAAAAAGGGUCCUCGAGUCACACCACCAGCUUCCUUGGCCACCAAAUACAGAAUGAACUCUUCAAUAAGCAUUUUUCUAUGACUGGCCAUGCUUUACACCUGGCUACCCCUACCCCGGUCAACAGCCCUGCACUCCCCACAGCAACUUGCCCAAGCCUCCCCAUUACUCCUUCACCCAAAUCUAGAUAGCUGAUGUUCUGAAAGAGCUGCAAAAUUUGGACCCCUACAAAUCAGUCGGGCUAGACAAUCUGGAUCCUCUCUUUCUAAAAUGAUCUGC